UCCUGUUGAAUAGCAAAUAUGUUGGUUAGUAAUAAAGCUAUAAUACAUGAGUACAUGAAUUUAAAAUGCAAAUGCAAGGACACAGAUCACCCUUUUCCCAAUUUAGCAGCCAAUAUGGAUAUAUAGGUGUCAAGUGCGAAAGACCAGGUCUCCAGUAAAGGUCUAAUUAAACUGAUUUAUUGCUAAAAUGCCUAAAUGCACAGGAAUCUCUUCAACUAAUGGUUCACACUUGCUUGGAGUUAAAUAAGAGUCAACUGAAUUCAGGGGGGAAUUGGAUUUAGUCCUCUUGUGGACAUGUAGGGAUUCUAGGUUGAUUCUUCAUUUAACUCCACCCCAGGUUCUGCCAUUCCUUCUCUUCUAACAGGACUGCAAUUCCCAGAAUUCUCAGUAACUUCUUGAGAAUCCUAGAAACUGGAUUGGUUGGAAUGGCACUGAUUUUGCAGUAUUUUGCAUCCUCCUGGCCAGUAGGGAUGGGAUGGAGAACUGUGAAGUAUACAUUCGGCCAUCAAUCAAUUUAACAGGAGCAGCAUUCAGGGACUUCUCCAUUAUGCCCAGGACCUGUGAAAGCUGACGUUUUGUAUUUCAAAUGCAAACGUUCUCAAAAAAGACCAACUAUUAACUUCCCCAUUUAAGGGAAGAAUUCAAGUUUUUAAUCCUCCUCCCGAUCAUUUCCCUAAUUUCCCUCCUUCCUCUGCAUUGAGUGGUAACAAAUCAUGAGACAUUGGGAGAGUUUUGUGAACUCUUGGUUCACUUUCUGCUGAAGGACGAUCUGUCACUUUAACACUGGUCAGCCCAGCAGAGAUGUAAUUGCUCCUGUUCUUAUUAAAAAAGGAAGAAGCUGCAUUCCAUAUUGUUAAAUAAUCCCUUCUAGUUGACCAUAACAUUACUUGGAUUCUCUGGGGGGAAAAAACCUGAGCAAAAGAAGGAGGGCAAUUCCAGCCUAAAAGGGAUA